AGUCGAACGGACUUUUCAUGAAGCCUAGCGAUUGAAAAGUUAGUGGCGGACGGGUGAGUAACGCGUGGGUAACCUGCCUUGUACUGGGGGACAACAGUUGGAAACGACUGCUAAUACCGCAUAAGCGCACAGCUUCGCAUGAAGCGGUGUGAAAAACUCCGGUGGUACAAGAUGGACCCGCGUCUGAUUAGCUGGUUGGUGAGGUAACGGCCCACCAAGGCGACGAUCAGUAGCCGGCCUGAGAGGGUGAACGGCCACAUUGGGACUGAGACACGGCCCAAACUCCUACGGGAGGCAGCAGUGGGGAAUAUUGCACAAUGGGGGAAACCCUGAUGCAGCAACGCCGCGUGAGUGAAGAAGUAUUUCGGUAUGUAAAGCUCUAUCAGCAGGAAAGAAAAUGACGGUACCUGACUAAGAAGCCCCGGCUAACUACGUGCCAGCAGCCGCGGUAAUACGUAGGGGGCAAGCGUUAUCCGGAUUUACUGGGUGUAAAGGGAGCGUAGACGGUUUUGCAAGUCUGAAGUGAAAGCCCGGGGCUUAACCCCGGGACUGCUUUGGAAACUGUAGAACUAGAGUGCAGGAGAGGUAAGUGGAAUUCCUAGUGUAGCGGUGAAAUGCGUAGAUAUUAGGAGGAACACCAGUGGCGAAGGCGGCUUACUGGACUGUAACUGACGUUGAGGCUCGAAAGCGUGGGGAGCAAACAGGAUUAGAUACCCUGGUAGUCCACGCCGUAAACGAUGAUUACUAGGUGUUGGUGGGUACGACCCAUCGGUGCCGCGGCAAACGCAAUAAGUAAUCCACCUGGGGAGUACGUUCGCAAGAAUGA
rnacentral:rRNA from 1 species